rnacentral:rRNA from 1 species
GGCGAGUGAAGCGGUAACAGCUCAAAUUUGAAAUCUGGGUCUUUCAGGCUCCGAGUUGUAAUUUGUAGAAGAUGCUUUGGGUGCGGCCCCGGUCUAAGUUCCUUGGAACAGGACGUCAUAGAGGGUGAGAAUCCCGUAUGUGAUCGGUGGCCUGCGCCCGUGUAAAGCUCUUUCGACGAGUCGGGUUGUUUGGGAAUGCAGCUCUAAAUGGGUGGUAAAUUUCAUCUAAAGCUAAAUACUGGCCAGAGACCGAUAGCGCACAAGUAGAGUGAUCGAAAGAUGAAAAGGACUUUGGAAAGAGAGUUAAACAGUACGUGAAAUUGUUGAAAGGGAAGCGCUUGCAACCAGACUUGCGCGGGGUUGAUCAUCCGGGGUUCUCCCCGGUGCACUCGGCCUCGCUCAGGCCAGCAUCGGUUUCGGUGGUUGGAUAAAGGCCUUGGGAAUGUGGCUCCUCUCGGGGAGUGUUAUAGCCCUCGGUGCAAUGCAGCCUACUGGGACCGAGGACCGCGCUUCGGCUAGGAUGCUGGCGUAAUGGUUGUAAGCGACCCGUCUUGAAACACGGACCAAGGAGUCUAACAUCUAUGCGAGUGUUUGGGUGUCAAACCCAUACGCGUAAUGAAAGUGAACGGAGGUGAGAACCCUUAAGGGUGCAUCAUCGACCGAUCCUGAUGUCUUCGGAUGGAUUUGAGUAGGAGCAUAGCUGUUGGGACCCGAAAGAUGGUGAACUAUGCCUGAAUAGGGUGAAGCCAGAGGAAACUCUGGUGGAGGCUCGCAGCGGUUCUGACGUGCAAAUCGAUCGU